rnacentral:rRNA from 1 species
UACGGAGGGUGCAAGCGUUGCUCGGAAUUAUUGGGCGUAAAGGGUAGGUAGGUGGUCUUAUUUGUCUGGGGUGAAAGCCUUGAGCUUAACUCAAGAAGUGCCCCAGAAACGGUAAGACUGGAGUCCUGGAGAGGGUCGUGGAAUUCCCGGUGUAGCGGUGAAAUGCGUAGAGAUCGGGAGGAACACCAAUGGCGAAGGCAGCCUUCUGGGCCAACACUGACGCUCAUGCACGAAAGCGUGGGGAGCAAACAGG